rnacentral:rRNA from 1 species
CCUACGGGUUGCAGCAGUGGGGAAUAUUGCGCAAUGGACGAAAGUCUGACGCAGCGACGCCGCGUGUGGGAUGAAGCUCUUCGGGGUGUAAACCACUGUUGCCCGGGACGAAUCUCUGGUUUCGACCAGAUUGACGGUACCGGGUGAGGAAGCACCGGCUAACUCUGUGCCAGCAGCCGCGGUAAUACAGAGGGUGCGAGCGUUGCCCGGAAUCACUGGGCGUACAGGGCGCGUAGGUGGCUUGCUAAGCGUGUGGUGAAAGCCUGGGGCUCAACCCCAGGUCUGCCGUGCGAACUGGCAAGCUUGAGCAUAGUAGAGGCAGGUGGAAUUUCGGGUGUAGCGGUGGAAUGCGUAGAUAUCCGAAAGAACACCGGUGGCGAAGGCGGCCUGCUGGGCUAUUGCUGACACUGAGGCGCGACAGCGUGGGGAGCAAACAGGAUUAGAUACCCUCGUAGUC